GUUCGUCGACCUAAGGUGGUGGCGCGUGGAGCGGUAGCAGCGUCUAAUCCCUCAGAUAUGGUGUCUUGAGCUUCAUCGUGCCGAUUAUCUUUCAGAUCUGAGAUGGAUUUGGAGACGGUUCUGUGUCGGUGUGCUUCUUUCUCGGGGUGUCCUGAGGGCGGCCCGUCGCUUGUUUCUCUCUCAUGUGGGACUGUUCGGUGGUUCUCUUCCGUUUCAAGGCGUGCUGGGUGCCCUGAAGCCGCCGUGUGUCAGCUUCUUGUUCUCCGGUCUCAGUGCGUGUAGGUGAGGGUCUUCAGGUGUUGGUUGCGUCUAUGCAUCUGACGUUUCUAGGCUUUAAGUCUGCUCCCCUCUUUCUUUUGCUCGUUCCUCGUCCUCUCUGUUCUUCUCGACUCAAGGAGGCAGUAGCUCCUCUGUUUUGGGUCUCGUUACCUGCUCUCCGCCGCUGCUGGUUUCGUGUCACCGAAAGUGUGCAGUCUUUGGGAAAGAAGUUUAUGUCCUCUGGUUCUCAGUUGAUGCGCGAGUUCGGUGUUGUGUUCCUCUGUUGAGUCGACAAGUUAUGCUUUCCGGUGACAGCUCGUGGUGAAGUUGCUCCAUCCCAGUGUCGUCUUAGUUUCCGCUUGGUUCUUGGCGUCAGGAGCAAUUUGCUUUCUUCUUUGCAGGUAACUAUUGGUUCGGUUUGGUUGCUAUCACUUUGCCCACUUUUUGCUGCGGGAACUGGAGACGGGAACUCUCUCCUUCACCGGUGGUGUGGACCCUAUCCAGGAAUGAACUCCGCCCUUCAUUUGUGGUCAUAUAUAUAUAUUUAUAAUACAUAUUUUCUAUACACCAAAUAACCGAAUGAGAACAAUAUAAAACUUAUAUAUCUAUAAAUUUUAAUCAAUACAUAUACCAUAAAUUAAGUAUUCUUCUAACUUUUACAUAAAAUAAUACUUUAAAAUAUAGAAAUAUGAAAAUAAAAAUUCAUGUAAAUUAAUAACUCUAUUAAUUAAGAAAUUAUCAAAGUUCCAAAAUUAUUAAUUUGUAGAGUUUUUACUGUAUGUAAGAAACAUCAUAUUUCAGUCAACUAUUAAACCAAUAAAGUUUUUCAUCAUUUUAAAGAUAUCAUAAAAAUGUUCCACAUUAAGACAUAUGUGAGCUUUUAUUUUUACUUUUUAAUUAGCCAAUGAACAACGUAGCUUUCUUUCUAAUAUUUUUAUUGAAUAAAAAUGUUUCCAAAAGAGCUGGGUUUCAUAAUUAAACUUAACCUAAAAUAAAAAUGUAUACGAAAAGCCGAUUAAAGUUUAAUUUAUCGAGACAAAAAGAAAGAAAAAUAAUUUUCAGCUAUACAAACAAUAUACCACUACAUAGCCAUACAUUUAGACAAAAUAACAUAUUAAAAUUAUACAAACUAUAUGUAUUAUAUAACAUAAUCAGGAAACUUAUAUAUGUUAUAUUGCUAACAUCAUAAACAUAAUUGCGGUUUAUCAUGUUCCAUCAAUACACUAAUAAAAGAACAUCGCUAGAAAAGUAUAUCAUGUUAAGAACUUAACAUUAUUCAAUGAAACGUAGUUUCGAAAUGAAUCAUAAAACACAUCCAAAUGGUAAAUAAAUUAACACAUUGAUUAAACAUUCCAAACGCGAUGUUAUAUAACAAGAACAUGUGAUAAAAUGAUAAAAUAUCAUCGAAAGUUGUCGAACUACAAGUUUGAUAUAUUUUUUACAGUUAGCAACGUCAAACAUAUAUUACUGCAGUAUUUCACCAUGUUGUUAUGUGGUUCAAAUAGUUUAUUUAGUUUAGGUUUAUUACAUUUGGCUCAUGUGUGAUUAUAUAGUAGUGUAUCAUUCGAUUAGCUGAUAAUUAUUUUUUCUCAAGAAAAGAAUUGUUAGGGUGAGAGCUUUGAUUGGUGUCGGCUUUUAGGGUUUGUGGUAGGUGCUCCAGAAGUUUUCUUUUCGUUUCCGGUUCGUCGACCUAAGGUGGUGGCGCGUGGAGCGGUAGCAGCGUCUAAUCCCUCAGAUAUGGUGUCUUGAGCUUCAUCGUGCCGAUUAUCUUUCAGAUCUGAGAUGGAUUUGGAGACGGUUCUGUGUCGGUGUGCUUCUUUCUCGGGGUGUCCUGAGGGCGGCCCGUCGCUUGUUUCUCUCUCAUGUGGGACUGUUCGGUGGUUCUCU
rnacentral:lncRNA from 1 species